CACAACUUUAUCAUCCAUUUAUUUCAUCUAUCCACAUUACUAUAACUAAACCUAACCAAUACCAAACACUGGGCACUAGCUAUCUGGUAAUAAAAAACUUCAACUUUGGGACAGGAAAGGAUGUCUCCAAGGUCAACAAACUCAUAAUAAGCAAAUUCUAUGACAGCCAGGGCUAUAGUUUCAAAAAGAAGAGAAAAAAAAAAUACCAAGAAAGCACAUACUAGAUCCUAUAGGACCUGAAUUUAAUUCCCAGCACCCACAACAUUCGAUUAACUGCCUGUAAUAACUACCUCCAAGUGAUUCCCACAGUCCUCUAGUCUGCACAUACCCACACCUAACAUGCAAACAAUACACACAUAAAUGAAUUUUUAAAAAGUAAAAAUUAGCGAUACAAUCUAAAAUAUUAGCACCCUAGUAUGUGAAAGAGUGCUUCUCAAACCAAAUUAACACAUCAAAUAGCAUGUCAAGAGUUCAUAUCCGGGCCUAAGAGUUCCCACACAUAUACCAAGUGUAACAUAGCACUGCCCAAAGAGCACUUGGAACAUUCAACCUUUAGAGCAUGCCUACUCCUUCAAUGCAGGCAGGUGAGCCUCUAAUAGAGCCAUAAUUUCCUGCCUCUAGUCACUAGCUCUGUAGAUGAAAUAAUUCAUCUCUAGGUGGUCAGUCUGGUAUACAGAGCAAGAAUACUAGGACAGCCUGGGCUACACAAAAAAACCCAGUCUAGGGGAACUACACUUCAGCACAAACUUUAACUUAUGACUUAGGAUAGUAGUUGAGGGGAGAGGGACACAACUCAGCAGCAAGAAACCACUUACUAGCUACAGGUCUCAAUGUAUGUAAGGUAUGCUUCAGUUAUCACCUUCUAUACAAACGUAGAAAUUCUCUACAAAUCAGGCCAACAUGGUGCCUGUCUAUAAUCCCAGCAGUGGGAAAACUGGUAAGUUUCUGAUUUUUGGUUUUUUUUUUAGCUGUCCUGCAACUAGCCAGGCUGACAGUGAACUGAGUUCAGCCUGCCUCUCAAGUGCUGAGAAUAAAGGUAUUCGCCACCAUCCACCUAGGAUUCAUACUUUUAAAAAAAUUUUAUGUGCUGUGUACACCUUCAUACCAGAAGACAGCUACAGUGUACUCAUAUAACUAAAUCUUAAAAAAAAAAAACCUUCAGUGGAGGUACAAAUCAAUGGUCAGCUCUUGUCAACAUUAUGAAGACUGUAAUCUUGUAAACCACAACACAAAACCCAUCUUUGCCCAGGCAGUUUUAACUGUGACUGUUCUUUGUGAGUGUCACCUAUAAAAAGCAAGUUCAUGCUAGAGAACUAUGCAAUUGGUUGGAUGUGAUGAUACACCUCGUCUUUAAUCAGAGAAAAAUGAGACUUUUUUUAAAGCAUGUUACUUACAUGCUGGGGGUUGGUGGUACACAACUUUAAUCCCAAUACUAUGGAUACAGAAGCAAACAGACCUCUGUUCAAGGCCAGCAUGGUCUAUAAAGAAAAACUCUACCUCAAAAAAAGCAUAACACAAAAAUAACAGCAUGUUUCAGUUUACUGUUUGUGAUACAUUCUGAGACAUGAUGCUUGCCCAUUUCGGGAAAAUUGUCUUUUGGGGGGGGGGGGGUGUUGCAUGAUUGCAGUCCAUGUUGGCCUUGAACUUCUUCUGAUCCUCCUACCUCCAAAGUACCAGAAAUAUAGAAAUCCAUAACCAUGCUCAACUGGUUUGGGUAAUUAGUUAGCUUUGGGACAGGGUAUUAUAUUACUAUGUAGCUCAAUCAAGCUGGAAGUUCUGCCUCCCCGGUGCUGGGAUUACCAAGGUUUUCAGUUCUACAUACUAAUUUGAAUAUUCAACAAAUGUUGCUAAGUAUGGGUUGUUAUUAAACAUAACAAGUGAAAAGGCGUUACCACUGACUUCACCAGUUUCCCUUUAUCGUUCAACUUCCCUUAAAAGAACUGUAGCCAGGAAGGGCACACACCUUUAAUCCUAGCACCCAGGAGGCAGUUUCAAGG
ensembl:lincRNA Gm26690 predicted gene, 26690